ACAAUAAUCACCGGCGAGGAAGAAGGCAGAUGAAAACCUGCUUGGGUGGCCAUGGAUACGAAGGAUCGCCUGGCCGCGAAGUAUUUACUGGGUUUUAUCAAGGUAACUUUUUCCUAUGGGAUGUCUGAACUGGAAGAGGUGCAGAUGGAAGAGGAGGAAGAUGCUGAAGAAGAGGGAAUUAAAGGAUCCUGAUGAUCCAACAUGGGACUAAAACAUGUCUUUAGAACCUUAAGGUUAUGAGCAACUGCCAGUAUGAUGUCCUGAAGAAGAGUUUUUUUACAUGGAAGAGGAACUCUAUGGCUCUCCACCAAAAUAAGAAUUCUCGAGGGUCCAAAGCGGGGACGAGUUGGAUAGUGAGAGACUUUUCCUGACUUUCGAGUGCUGCUUACAGGAUAUAUUCAGUGAACUCAUCUUGCCAAUGUGACAAAGCAUAAUCUGCUGACUUCAAACCAUCUAGCACUGGCAUGUAUGCUAUAAUGCAGACAGAUUGGAAAUCAAGGUGGUCUUUCCUCCCAAACCUAAGUCAUAUGCCUGAUAUUGAGAAUAAACCAUUUUGGUCCAGCAUUUACUUCUUAAAUCUAAAUGACAUCAAAUGUAUUAUGGAAUAUGGUACUGGUGGCAUAUUGUGACUUCAACUUGAUUUUAAACCAGGGUGUUGUCAGAUUUUGUAAGAUCACCAGUUGCAGUUUUGUGACUUUGUUACAGCAUAAAAUUCUGUAUUUGGCAAAUGACUGUAUGUCAUUUCUUUUAAGACCUACAAAAAUGGUUUGAGUGAACACUUGUGCCUGUAUUCAAUUCUCCAUGCACUCAGCCAUUAUUUAGAAUUCAUGCAGGGAAGCCAUGCAUGUAUUUUUUAAAGAAAUAUUUUUACCUUUCUAUUUGUUCCCUGCACGUCUUGGAAAAGUAUAUGUGAAUAUCUUACCGAUGAAACAAUUUAUGUUUGUGUAAGUCGGGUUAGUCCUUUCUUAUGACACAUCCCUUUGCAUGGAGAUUUUUGUGUCAGCUCACAUGAGUCAAUACACUGACAGAGAGGGGGAUAAUUUGUUGAUCUGCAAUCCUCAUGGGUCUGCAUGUACGUCAGACUCUUAACAUGAUAGCCCGAUGUUAAUAAGUCUCUCUCAAAAAUGUUACCAUACUACAAUUUGUACUGCACAAUGUGAAAGUUUGUGAAUGCUUGAAUGGAAGGCUUAUUUAUGAAGAGAGCAUUAAUAAGUAUGAAAAUAAUUAUGCAUUCUAGCUUACAAAAUCUGUGUAUGUCUUAUUCAUUACAUGUGACAGGUAAUAAUAAAGAUGAUUUGGCCAAAUUCCAAACUUAUGUAGCAAACUUUGUUUAUUCUUGUAUUUUUGCCAAAUAAAAAUAAAAGAUGUUUCAAUA
rnacentral:lncRNA from 1 species